AUUAACGUCAACCUGUUAAUUAUUGUGGGACACAAAACUAAGACUCUACCAAACAGUCCAUGACAGGAAAUAUGGCUUUGUAACAGCCUAUGCUAAUUUAUGGUGCACAAGGGUCCUCUUGUCACUGUGCCUAUGCAUAGCUUUGCUUAUAACUGAUGACUUAGAAAAUCCAGCAAUGAGCAGAUUAAGAAGCGGUUUUUUUUGUUUUGUUUUUUAAAAGGAACACUUAUAGGCAC